AUGCUGCUCCCCCGCCUGCUGAGAGUAGUCACAGCCUCCAUCUGCCUUGGAUCCAGCAUGGCCCAGAAGGUAACUCAAGCCCAGCCUGCAGUUUCUGUGCUGGAGAAGGAGGCUGCAACCUUGGAUUGUGUAUAUGAAGCUAAUAGUUAUAGUUAUAGUUAUUAUUUAUUCUGGUAUAAACAAACACCAAGUGGGGAAAUGAUUUUCCUUAUUCAUCAGGAUUCUUACAAUGAGCAAAAUACAACAAAGGAUCGGUACUUUUUGAACUUCCAGAAACCAGCCAGUUCCAUCAGCCUCAGCAUCACAGCCUCACAGCUCGGGGACUCAGCAGUGUAUUUCUGUGCUCUGAGAGAGGCCACAGUGUUGUGGGUGCCUGUGGGAGCCCCACAAAAACCUCAGAUCUCAACAUGA